GACGGAGGGUGCAAGCGUUGUUCGGAUUGACUGGGCGUAAAGGGCGUGUAGGCGGUCGGCCAAGUCUGAUGUGAAAGCCCGAGGCUCAGCCUCGGAAGUGCGUCGGAAACUAGUCGGCUGGAGCGCGAUAGAGGAGGGUGGAAUUCCUGGUGUAGCGGUGAAAUGCGUAGAUAUCAGGAGGAACACCGGUGGCGAAGGCGGGUCUCUGGGCCGUAACUGACGCUGAGGAGCGAAAGCGUGGGGAGCGAACAGG
rnacentral:rRNA from 1 species